UACGUAGGGGGCAAGCGUUGUCCGGAUUUAUUGGGCGUAAAGAGCGUGUAGGCGGCCAUUCAGGUCAGCUGUGAAAACUCGAGGCUCAACCUCGAGACGUCGGUUGAAACCGUUUGGCUAGAGUCCGGAAGAGGAGAGUGGAAUUCCUGGUGUAGCGGUGAAAUGCGCAGAUAUCAGGAGGAACACCAAUGGCGAAGGCAGCUCGCUGGGCCGGCACUGACGCUGAGGAGCGAAAGCGUGGGGAGCGAACAGG
rnacentral:rRNA from 1 species